UACGAAGGGGGGCUAGCGUUGCUCGGAAUCACUGGGCGUAAAGCGCACGUAGGCGGAUCUUUAAGUCAGGGGUGAAAUCCUGGAGCUCAACUCCAGAACUGCCUUUGAUACUGAGAGCUUGAGUCCGGGAGAGGUGAGUGGAACUGCGAGUGUAGAGGUGAAAUUCGUAGAUAUUCGCAAGAACACCAGUGGCGAAGGCGGCUCACUGGCCCGGUACUGACGCUGAGGUGCGAAAGCGUGGGGAGCAAACAGG
rnacentral:rRNA from 1 species